AGACUGUGGGAGAGUGGGGCUAAGCCUGGCUUGGAACUGGCCUGCGCAAGGGGAGGCUGAGGAUGUGGAGCUGGGUAGCAUUGUGUGGUGUUUGAUGCUCUUCUUUCCCAGCCCGCCCUGGCUGUGCUGGACACCUUUCCYUGGAGCAGGCCAACGCGAUGCACAGAUGAGCAGCUCUCAUCAGGCAGAGAUGAAGAACCAGAAAAAAGAAGUCAAAGCUGCAAGGCCCAGAGAAAUUUCACUGGAAAAAAAAAAAGAAUUUCUGCAGCAAGUCUCUACUGGCAGUGGGAAGAUGCAGCUCUGAAAAGAAGCUCUGCUGCUCUACCUUUUUGUUUUGUUCGUCCAUUAACUGCAGCAUUUCAGGCAUUAAUGGGCUAAUAAGCUCAGUCUGAAUUCAUCACUACYCCAAGCAUCGCUGCAGUUUACAAUCCUCAAAAUAGGAAAUUCUCAGUUACUGAGAAGAGCAACUAACGCUCUCCCUGAAAGCGUAGCAAGAUGUAAUUUUCCAAGCGAGAGCGUUUUCACUAAUGGCAUUCUGUAGGGAAAAUAAAUAAACUUAACUCAGAAUCCUGGGCUGCGUUGCCAGAAAGCGAGUGAAGGAGAAGAGCGUCACGAGCCACCUAACCCUCUUUGAGCAGCGGGUCACACCGCUUUCCUMGCGCAGCCCCAGGCUGUGGGGCUGAGCAGAUGCCUUAUGUGGCACCCACCUCGCCCAAAUACCUGGGGUCUGUGGGCAGUGACUGUUCAGCCGGACUCCUAGCGCGGCUCGACGGGAGCGGGGCCGUUGGGAUGGGGUCCCCGUGCGGAGCACAACGUGCACCGGGAGCAUCCUGCCUGUCUGCGCUGGGUGCUUUGCCCUGAAUUCCAGCACAUGCAGAAAAACCUUCCAGUGUAAAGGUUCCCUGCUCAGACUGUAUUUCUGUAUUAAAACUUAGUGCUUGAGAAAUUUUAGAGUAAUUACAGUGUUCGGUGGUGUUGCUGCUAAGAGCUUAGCCUUCUGGAAACUCUAAACYUUGAUGGAGAGCCAAGACGUAAAGGGAAUAUAAGUAGAGCUGCUGUUGCAUUAUCAAGAACCUUGCAAACACCGUAGAUUUGAACUUACCUUCCCUCUGAUGAAAUUAAUAGCUUAUUUGUCCUUUUAUGUCUUACGGUAUACUGUGAGUAAUGAAAAUAAUGUUUCAUCUAAAUCUAUGGUGAAAGGACAGCACUGCAUCUGGAAUAAUUCCAGGAUUUCAGCUCUUUGGAGCUUGCCCUUUCUUUAGCUCAGAAAUACAGAAUGAAUAAGAUUAUAUUAUUGAGAAUUCAUCUUGUCUCCUGGAAUGAUGAACCCAUCCCUCUCUGCCCUGUAUAUGUGACUCCAUGCUGAUGUCACUCUGUCAAACUCAUCUUUUAAAAGGGACUGCACUGAAAUUCAUUUAUUUGGAUUCAGCUGACUUUUAUUGAAGGUGAAAUGUGUGGAUCCAUGUGGGCAGCUAUGUGGGUGCGUUGCAGCAUCAGGUCUCUGAUGUCAUUUUCC